rnacentral:rRNA from 1 species
UUCGCAGGGGGCCAAUUAAGUCUGAUGUGAAAGCCCGGGGCUCAACCCCGGAAUUGCAUUGGAUACUGAUUGGCUAGAGUACCGGAGAGGAAAGCGGAAUUCCUGGUGUAGCGGUGGAAUGCGUAGAUAUCAGGAGGAACACCGAGAGCGAAGGCAGCUUUCUGGACGGUUACUGACCCUCAGGGACGAAGGCAUGGGGAGCAAACAGGAUUAGAUACCCUGGUAGUCC